AUGGGCGCAAGCCUGAUGCAGCCAUGCCGCGUGUAUGAAGAAGGCCUUCGGGUUGUAAAGUACUUUCAGUCGUGAGGAAGGCGGUGUCGUUAAUAGCGGCAUCGUUUGACGUUAGCGACAGAAGAAGCACCGGCUAACUCCGUGCCAGCAGCCGCGGUAAUACGGAGGGUGCGAGCGUUAAUCGGAAUUACUGGGCGUAAAGCGCAUGCAGGUGGUUUGUUAAGUCAGAUGUGAAAGCCCGGGGCUCAACCUCGGAAUAGCAUUUGAAACUGGCAGACUAGAGUACUGUAGAGGGGGGUAGAAUUUCAGGUGUAGCGGUGAAAUGCGUAGAGAUCUGAAGGAAUACCGGUGGCGAAGGCGGCCCCCUGGACAGAUACUGACACUCAGAUGCGAAAGCGUGGGGAGCAAACAGGAUUAGAUACCCUGGUAGUCCACGCCGUAAACGAUGUCUACUUGGAGGUUGUGGCCUUGAGCCGUGGCUUUCGGAGCUAACGCGUUAAGUAGACCGCCUGG
rnacentral:rRNA from 1 species